UGGGGAAUUUUGGACAAUGGGCGAAAGCCUGAUCCAGCAAUGCCGCGUGUGUGAAGAAGGCCUUCGGGUUGUAAAGCACUUUUGUCCGGAAAGAAAUCCUUGGCUCUAAUACAGUCGGGGGAUGACGGUACCGGAAGAAUAAGCACCGGCUAACUACGUGCCAGCAGCCGCGGUAAUACGUAGGGUGCAAGCGUUAAUCGGAAUUACUGGGCGUAAAGCGUGCGCAGGCGGUUUGCUAAGACCGAUGUGAAAUCCCCGGGCUCAACCUGGGAACUGCAUUGGUGACUGGCAGGCUAGAGUAUGGCAGAGGGGGGUAGAAUUCCACGUGUAGCAGUGAAAUGCGUAGAGAUGUGGAGGAAUACCGAUGGCGAAGGCAGCCCCCUGGACCAAUACUGACGCUCAUGCACGAAAGCGUGGGGAGCAAACAGGAUUAGAUACCCUGGUAGUCCACGCCCUAAAACGAUGUCAACUAGUUGUUGGGGAUUCAUUUCCUUAGUAACGUAGCUAACGCGUGAAGUUGACCGCCUGGGGAGUACGGUCGCAAGAUUAAAACUUAAAUGAAUUGACGGGGUCAUAGCUGUUUCCU
rnacentral:rRNA from 1 species